AGUUUUCUUCUCCUUCAAGUCUUUGCAGCUCAUGUUAACUCAGAAACAUGUGGACAGGACAGGGUAGAAUUGGGAAACUGGUUUAUAGAUCACGGGUCUACUGACCUCCUACUCCCUCCAUACCCUCCGUUGGUCCGACCUGUGGUUCAGGAUCCGUAUAGGUCUGGUUGUCAAAUAA